AACGAACGCUGGCGGCGUGCUUAACACAUGCAAGUCGAGCGAGAAAGGGAGCUUGCUCCUGAGUAAAGCGGCGCACGGGUGAGUAACACGUGGGUAACCUGCCUUUCAGUGGGGGAUAACAGCCCGAAAGGGCUGCUAAUACCGCAUUCGUCCACACGGUCACAUGUCUGUGUGGAGAAAGAGGCGCAAGUCUCGCUGGAAGAUGGGCCCGCGGUCCAUUAGCUAGUUGGUGGGGUAAAGGCCUACCAAGGCUUCGAUGGAUAGCUGGUCUGAGAGGAUGAUCAGCCACACUGGAACUGAGACACGGUCCAGACUCCUACGGGAGGCAGCAGUGGGGAAUAUUGCGCAAUGGGCGAAAGCCUGACGCAGCAACGCCGCGUGUGUGAUGAAGGCC
rnacentral:rRNA from 1 species